GGGAUAAGAAAUUUAGCUCUGCUGUAACAGGUGCCAUAAAGGGAUCAAGGUUCCUCUCCAUACAUCAAUUACUCCAUCUGGUCCAUGUGGAGUUGGGGCUCCCUCUGGUGCCUGGGGCCCCAGGCCACUUGGUCCAAGUGUCUUUGGAGGACCAGUGGAUGCAAUUCCCCUUGGGUGUUCGUCAAUAGACGCGAUAAGGAUUAUAGCAGGAGGGGUGAUUCUGAG